GUAAGGUAAGGUUUAUACCCCUGCCCCUAUGUGUAACAUAAGCCAAGGCAUUCACCUCUAUAUCAGUGUAAGAUAAGGUUUAUACCCCUACCCCUAUGUGUAACAUAAGGCAUCCACCCCUACAGUGUAAGAUAAGGUUUAUACCCCUACCCCUAUGUGUAACAUAAGGCAUCCACCCCUACAGUGUAAGAUAAGGUUUAUACCCCUGCCCCUAUGUGUAACAUAAGGCAUCCACCCCUAUACCAGUGUAAGAUAAGGUUUAUACCCCUGUCCCUAUGUGU